rnacentral:sRNA from 1 species
UGUUGGCUGAAAUGUGCGUUAGCGAUAGUAGUGACAUCCUUUUUGUUUAUUGAAAACAAAAAGAUAUAACGGAUAGCGCGACCCGAU